rnacentral:rRNA from 1 species
AUUGAACGCUGGCGGCAGGCCUAACACAUGCAAGUCGAACGCGUGGCGGACGGGUGAGUAAUGUCUGGGAAACUGCCCGAUGGAGGGGGAUAACUACUGGAAACGGUAGCUAAUACCGCAUACCAUCGGAUGUGCCCAGAUGGGAUUAGCUAGUAGGUGGGGUAACGGCUCACCUAGGCGACGAUCCCUCGCUGGUCUGAGAGGAUGACCAGCCACAAUGGAACUGAGAAACGGGCCAGACUCCUACGGGAGGCAGCAGUGGGGAAUAUGGCACAAUGGGCGCAAGCCUGAUGCAGACAUGCCGCGUGUAUGAAGAAGGCCUUCGGGUUUGAAAGUACUUUCAGCGAGGAGGCGUUACUCGCAGAAGAAGCACCGGCUAACUCCGUGCCAGCAGCCGCGGUAAUAC